AGCCUACACCAAGGGAAGAGUCAGGGGAGAAGGAACACAAGACUCCGGAAGCAUGCCAGCGUAUAAAACCGAGCACCUCCCUGCUCCCUGAAUCCCCCAGGAAUGUACCUCUGGAGAGCUCCUGGUUCUCCACUUGGAAGCUGUGUUGGUAGGCUGUGACGGGGCAGGCAUUGCCUUGUAAAGGGCACUCCUGUCUACACGAUCUGUAGAGAAUGCAGAGCUCAGGGACGAUGUACAGCAGCAGGAAAACCCAUGCGUUGGUGACCAGAGCAAUGCAGACGACCGGGUCGUCCCACUGGGGCUGUCGCUGGAACUGCGGGUUGCCUCUCAGGAGCAUGGAGAUCCACACCACCCAGAUGAUGAUGGAGAAGAGCACAGUGAUAAAGAUGAGCCUUCCAUGCUGCUUCCAGUUCUCACACGGGCCACAGAAGGUGGCUUUGGAGACGAAGAAUGUGAGGGCCAUCAGGAAGAGGACAUAGACCAGGAGUACAACAAAGUCCACAUUGAGCUGGCAGGGUGUCAUAUUCACAAACAUCAUACCUCUGGUCAUGAUGAGAGUCACAUACUCAGUGGCAAUAAUGAUUUGCAACAGACUGCAACCAAUAGCAAUGCACAGAAUUGUCGUCCAGGAGAAGGAGACACAACCCCGAACCAGCUUCACUAGAUUGGAGGCAUGAGCUAAGAGGCAUGAGAAACAGAGAGCAAAGAGAACCCCAAAGAGAAAGUAGCGUACGGGGGCAGUUUGUUGAUUGAGCUCGAUG
rnacentral:lncRNA from 1 species